UACGUAGGGGGCAAGCGUUAUCCGGAUUUACUGGGUGUAAAGGGAGCGUAGACGGUUAUGCAAGUCUGAAGUGAAAGCCCAAGGCUCAACUAUGGGACUGCUUUGGAAACUGUAAAACUGGAGUGCAGGAGAGGUAAGCGGAAUUCCUAGUGUAGCGGUGAAAUGCGUAGAUAUUAGGAGGAACACCAGUGGCGAAGGCGGCUUACUGGACUGUAACUGACGUUGAGGCUCGAAGGCGUGGGGAGCAAACAGG
rnacentral:rRNA from 1 species